UACGGAGGGUGCAAGCGUUGUUCGGAAUUAUUGGGCGUAAAGCGCGUGUAGGCGGUUUGAUUAGUCUGAUGUGAAAGCCCUGGGCUCAACCCAGGAAGUGCAUUGGAACUGUCGAGACUUGAAUACGGGAGAGGGUAGUGGAAUUCCUAGUGUAGGAGUGAAAUCCGUAGAUAUUAGGAGGAACACCGGUGGCGAAGGCGGCUGCCUGGACCGAUACUGACGCUGAGACGCGAAAGCGUGGGGAGCAAACAGGAUUAGAUACCCGGGUAGU
rnacentral:rRNA from 1 species